rnacentral:miRNA from 1 species
UCCCUUCCAAUCAAUGAGGUAUAACAAUGUCAUUGACCGGAAGGGAUUCCUUCCUGUCAAUGAGAUGCAACAACCUCAUCAAUUGGGAGGAAUCCCUUCCAAUUGAUGAGGUUGUUAUACCUCAUUGAUCAGAAGGGA